rfam:Sulfitobacter geojensis strain EhN01 A2_Contig33, whole genome shotgun sequence.
AAUCCUCCAUCUGUUGGGGGCAGAUAAAGUGAAUGUGGCUGUCCAUGCCGCCAGCGGUAAGGAUACGUCCUUCGCCGGCAAUGACUUCGGUGCCCGGCCCGACAAUGAUAUCUACUCCCGUCUGCGUAUCCGGGUUGCCCGCUUUGCCAAUCGCGUGGAUCAACCCGUCUUUCAGCGCAACAUCCGCUUUGUAGAUGCCGGCGUGAUCAACGAUCAGCGCAUUGGUGAUCACGGUAUCAACCGCACCGCCUGCACGGGUGACUUGGGAUUGCCCCAUACCGUCGCGUAU